rnacentral:sRNA from 1 species
AGUGACCAGGGGAAGAGUUUUGCAGAAAUUUCUUCCUGAACUGAUAAGGAAGGACCCCGUGGUUUAAUGGAUGGGGCUUUAACCUACCCAGAGGUCAGUCUCUGCUGGACAAGUGGAACCUCAUCCCUGAGGGCAUUGACAUACUCAUGACACAUGGACCUCCUCUAGGUUUUCGAGACUGGGUUCCAAAGGAGCUUCAAAGAGUGGGCUGUGUGGAGCUGUUAAACACGGUUCAGAGGCGAGUCCGGCCCAAGCUCCAUGUGUUUGGUGGAAUCCACGAAGGUUAUGGCAUCAUGACCGACGGUUACACAACGUACAUCAAUGCCUCGACGUGUACAGUCAGCUUUCAACCGACCAACCCUCCAAUUAUAUUUGACCUUCCAAACCCACAGGGUUCCUGAAGCUCUAAAUGCCCUAUUGGAAUGUGAGGGAAGGUCUAUAAACUGCCAUUUUUCUAAUUAUAAACUUACAUUCUCUUACUUAUUUACAAACCCUGUGAGUUCUUUUUGUAAAUUGUUGGAACACAAAUGAUGCUAGAGGUUGUGCUUCUUAUUUUAUUUUAUUUUAAAUGGGGCAUCCAUUUGAAAUCAGAGGAACAUUGUGAAUUUGUAAAAUGACUUCUGUUUUCUCAAAGGCCAUGCCAUUGUAAAUUGUUAGUGUUCGCCAAAGGACAGCCAAGCUUUCUUUUAAAAAGUGAUAAAAGUCUUAUUUUAAUAUGCUUUAAGCUGAAAGAAAAAAAAAAUAAGAAACAGGCAGUGUUUUAAAAACCAACACAGAUUUGCACAACUGUUUAAGAGUAUUGUUUAUUUUAAUUUUCAAUGUUUUGUUGUUGUUGUUUUCUUGGUAAUGCUUCUUUUUUGCAGCUGUGGUCCCGAUUUAUAGCAAUCUUCUCAACAGAAGUAGGCAUGGAAAAGACUUCUUUUCAUACUCUCACUAUAAAGAAAGCUGCAUUGAGAAGAAAAUGGCUGUCAUUUAAAGGAUGGUUUAACUAGUGA